rnacentral:rRNA from 1 species
UACGUAGGGUGCAAGCGUUGUCCGGAAUUAUUGGGCGUAAAGAGCUUGUAGGCGGUUUGUCGCGUCGGCUGUGAAAUCCCGAGGCUCAACCUCGGGUCUGCAGUCGAUACGAGCAAACUAGAGUGUUGCAGGGGAGACUGGAAUUCCUGGUGUAGCGGUGAAAUGCGCAGAUAUCAGGAGGAACACCGGUGGCGAAGGCGGGUCUCUGGGCAACAACUGACGCUGAGGAGCGAAAGCGUGGGGAGCGAACAGG